rnacentral:rRNA from 1 species
UGGUGGGUAGUUUGACUGGGGCGGUCUCCUCCUAAAGAGUAACGGAGGAGCACGAAGGUUGGCUAAUCCUGGUCGGACAUCAGGAGGUUAGUGCAAUGGCAUAAGCCAGCUUGACUGCGAGCGUGACGGCGCGAGCAGGUGCGAAAGCAGGUCAUAGUGAUCCGGUGGUUCUGAAUGGAAGGGCCAUCGCUCAACGGAUAAAAGGUACUCCGGGGAUAACAGGCUGAUACCGCCCAAGAGUUCAUAUCGACGGCGGUGUUUGGCACCUCGAUGUCGGCUCAU